AGAGUUUGAUCCUGGCUCAGGAUGAACGCUGGCGGCGUGCCUAACACAUUCAAGUCGAACGGAGGUAUUUUGGUAGUAAUAUCGAGAUAUCUUAGUGGCGGACGGGUGAGUAACGCGUGAGCAACCUGCCCUCGAGAGCGGGAUAACGUCGGGAAACCGACGCUAAUACCGCAUAAUGCAUGGGAAUCACAUGAUUAUCAUGCCAAAGGAGCAAUCCGCUCGGGGAUGGGCUCGCGUCCGAUUAGGCAGUUGGUGAGGUAAGGGCUCACCAAACCUACGAUCGGUAGCCGGGCUGAGAGGUCGGACGGCCACAUUGGAACUGAGAUACGGUCCAGACUCCUACGGGAGGCAGCAGUGGGGGAUAUUGGGCAAUGGGCGAAAGCCUGACCCAGCGACGCCGCGUGAGGGAAGAAGGUCUUCGGAUUGUAAACCUCUGUUGACAGGGACGAAGGCGGGGAACCGCGUGACGGUACCUGUCGAGGAAGCCACGACUAACUACGUGCCAGCAGUCGCGGUAAUACGUAGGUGGCGAGCGUUAUCCGGAUUUACUGGGUGUAAAGGGUGUGUAGGCGGAGAUGCAAGUCAGGUGUGAAAUUCAUGGGCUCAACUCAUGAACUGCGCCUGAAACUGUGUCCCUCGAGUGUCGGAGGGGUAAACGGAAUUCCCGGUGUAGCGGUGAAAUGCGUAGAGAUCGGGAGGAACAUCGGUGGCGAAGGCGGUUUACUGGACGACAACUGACGCUGAGACACGAAAGCGUGGGGAGCAAACAGGAUU
rnacentral:rRNA from 1 species